rnacentral:rRNA from 1 species
CCGGCGCACGGGUGAGUAACGCGUAUGCAACUUACCUAUCAGGAGGGGAUAACCCGGCGAAAGUCGGACUAAUACCGCAUGAAGCAGGGGCCCCGCAUGGGGAUAUUUGCUAAAGAUUCAUCGCUGAUAGAUAGGCAUGCGUUCCACUAGGCAGUUGGCGGGGUAACGGCCCACCAAACCGACGAUGGAUAGGGGUUCUGAGAGGAAGGUCCCCCACAUUGGUACUGAGACACGGACCAA